rnacentral:rRNA from 1 species
AAUCAACGCUGGCGGCGUGCCUCAGACAUGCAAGUCGAACGAUUAAAGCUCUCUUCGGAGAGUGUAUAGAGUGGCGCACGGGUGAGUAACACGUAAGUAAUCUACCUUUGAGUGGGGAAUAGCAAUACGGAAACGAUUGCUAAUACCGCAUAAUGCAGCGGCAUCGCAAGAUGACAGUUGUUAAAGGAGCAAUCCACUUAAAGAGAGCUUGCGGCAGAUUAGCUAGUUGGUAAGGUAAUGGCUUACCAAGGCUACGAUCUGUAACCGGUCUAAGAGGACGGUCGGUCACACUGACACUGAAUAACGGGUCAGACUCCUACGGGAGGCAGCAGUCGGGAAUUUUGGGCAAUGGGCGAAAGCCUGA